rnacentral:rRNA from 1 species
GGCUCAGGACGAACGCUGGCGGCGUGCCUAAUACAUGCAAGUCGAACGCUUCUUUUUCCACCGGAGCUUGCUCCACCGGAAAAAGAGGAGUGGCGAACGGGUGAGUAACACGUGGGUAACCUGCCCAUCAGAAGGGGAUAACACUUGGAAACAGGUGCUAAUACCGUAUAACAAUCAAAACCGCAUGGUUUUGAUUUGAAAGGCGCUUUCGGGUGUCGCUGAUGGAUGGACCCGCGGUGCAUUAGCUAGUUGGUGAGGUAACGGCUCACCAAGGCCACGAUGCAUAGCCGACCUGAGAGGGUGAUCGGCCACAUUGGGACUGAGACACGGCCCAAACUCCUACGGGAGGCAGCAGUAGGGAAUCUUCGGCAAUGGACGAAAGUCUGACCGAGCAACGCCGCGUGAGUGAAGAAGGUUUUCGGAUCGUAAAACUCUGUUGUUAGAGAAGAACAAGGAUGAGAGUAACU